rnacentral:tRNA from 1 species
GGGCAGUUAGCUCAGUUGGUUUAGAGCGUUGCGUUGACAUCGCAGAGGUCAUGGGUUCGAAUCCCUUACUGCCCA